CGGGGGCGGGGGCGGGGCUUCUGCGAUUCUGGAACCGCGGGUCCUAAAAACUGGAUGUUCGCAGGGAAAGAUGGCCCUCCAUAGUCUCAAGGUCCGCUUUCUAAAAUAAAGCGAUCCGUGCAAGCUGACGUCUGGGGAAGAGAAAGGAUGGGGGCUACGGGCUGCCGCAGGCUUUCGGACCCGCGUGUCCAGGGGCCCGCGGCGGCGCGGGAGAAGAGCGCGAGAGGUGCGAGCUGUGCGUCCGGCGCGCGGGGAUGAGAAACCCGAUCACGGGCAGAUUCUUUACCGAUGAGCCAUCAGGGAAGCCCUCCUAUCUCCUGGCAUAUUUAUUUCCACAAGGAAGAAAAGAGAGGCCCAUGGAACCAAACACCUACCAUUGGACGUCCUCACAGGAAUGAGGACAUCUCAGCUCCAGGAUCAGUUCUGUGUAUCCAUCAGGAGCUAGUGUGCAGCUAACCACUCAUCCCACGAGAUAGUUCUUUUAAAGUGGAGCCUCUGUUCAACCACAUGAAAAGAUGUUCAGCCUCAUUCAAAGUAAAAGGAAUGAAUGCAGAUUUAAGAGUAUCAGGAGAUCCCAUUUUUCACCUAGUCAGUUGAUGAACAUUAAAGUUUGGCGAUUCUGUGUGUUGGCCAGGAAGACCAAAUUGGUGCAAUUGUCACUUUACUCAGCUCUUUGCAGAGCAAGACAGAAGUAUGAAUCACAAAAAUUUAAUUGUAUUUACCCUUUGACCCAACAAUCCCACUCAGCAAUUUAUCCUCCAGAUAGAGUCCCUCAUGCACACAAAGAUGUUUGCACUUCAGUAUUUACAGUAGAAUGUUUGUAGAAGCAAAAAACUGCAUCGCCCUAUAUGCUGUCAGUAUAUUAAGUAGAGUAUGUUAUACAUAGGAAUGGAAUACUGUGCAGUGAUCUUUGAGGUAUAUUAACUCUAUCAUGUCAGUUCAGUUCAAUUGCUCAGUCGUGUCUGACUCUGCGACCCCAUGGACUGCAGUACGCCAGGCUUCCCUGUCCAUCACCAACUAACUAUGGUGUAAAACUGUGUAUUUGAAAAAGAAGAUCUGGGGAAUAUAUAUGUUUAUAUAUACAAUCCCUGGGAAAAUGUACAAGGAAUAGGUUUGUAACUUGUUAAGUUUGUAAACCAUGUAUCCAUUUUUAAAUAUAUAAAAAUUUAAAAUAAAUGAGACAACCCUAUAGAACAAUUGGCAAAACACUUGAACAGGUACUUCACAGAAGAAAAUCCAAACGUGAAAAAAUGCUAAUUUUCAUUAGUCAUCAGGGAAAUGCAAACUUCAACCACAAUGAAAUACUAUUUACAUACCCACUAGAAUGACUAAGAUGGAAAAACACCAAGUGCUGGUGAGCGUGCAGAGAAACUGGGACUUCCAUCCACUUCACUGCUGGGGGCAGGAAUGUGAUUGUUAAACCACCCCACAGGGGUAUCUACUGAAGACAGAUGGAAAGACGUGUGAUAGAAUGUUCCCGCAAUACACAGCACAGCAUUGUUUAUGGAUAUUCAGGUGGUUUGCAGUUUGGGGCUAGAAUGAACAAAUAGUAGUAUACCUAUACAGUGAAAUAUAAUACUAGACAGAAUGAAAGUGUCCACUACACACAAGUAAAUCUCACAAACAGGAUGUUGAAUAAAAGUUCAAAAUUGGGCAAAACUGACCUUUGGUAUAGGAAGACAGGGCAGGGCUGUGACUACCACUGUAGUGGGGAUGCUAGGGGGCUAGUGAUCUUCUCUUUCUUGAGCUGGGUGCUAGUUGUAUGAGUGUUCACUUGGUAAAAAUUCAGCCUUGUACAUUUAUGAUUUGUAUGCUGGUACUUCAACAGUGGGAGGGAAAGAGACUUCCAAGGGCUGUAUAGUGGAAAAAUCAGAAAUUUAUUCAGAAGGGAGUUUCUUAUUUUUUCCACUGAGAUUGUGAUGUGGAAUGCAUCAGCCAGAUCAGGGAAGCCAGAAGGCUGAAGCUCCCCAACCCAAGGUGUUGAACAAGGCCCAGGAAGUCUAAACAACCCAAAGUGGAGUGACACGUUCCUGAAUUCCUUUUCACUGGGUCACCUCACCUCCGGCUGCAGGUAGAGCCCUUGGGGGCGGCAGGGCUGUGCCUCGGGCUGUGCGUUCUCUGGAAUCCCAAGCUGGCUCUCUCCUGCCCUUCAGCGUGUCUUCCUCCCUGGCACAUUAUAAAAAAUUCCUCCUUCUCUCCCAUUCCUGCGACAGUGCAAUACGCAGUAAAUGAAUGAAUGAACAUGCAUUGGCUGGCCCCUUGUUCAGAUGAAGAAACAGGCCCAUGGAGUUUAAGGCGUGUGCUGAAGGUCAUACAACUGGGAGAGGAACUCAUAGCCUCCUGCUCCUGAAACGCCCUCUACAGGAAGAAACGCGUAUACACAUGGCUGAUUCAUUUUGUUGUGCAGCAGAAGCUAACACAGCAUUGUAAAGCAAUGAUACUCAAAAAAAAAAAAAAAAAGAUACUAAGGAGAAAAAAAAAUCCUGAAGAAAAAAUCUGAUCUGAGAAUGAAGCCCACCUCAAAGGGAAGCAGUCAAGAAGGUGAGAGAGAUGAGACCCAAGUUCUGAUGAUGUCACUUGGCCCCUGGAUCCAAGUUGGCCCCUGGGGUUGGCUGGGCCAACCCCAGAACUUUUCAGUCAUGUAAGCCACUGUAUUCCUACUAUUACCACUUUACCAUUUUUUUUUUUUGGGGGGGGGGUUGUGUCUUGAGGCAUGCAGGACCCCAGUUCCCCCACCUGAGUCAAACCUGCACCGCCUGCAGUGGAAGCUCAGUCUUAACCACUGGACCACCAGGGAAGUCCCUAUAUUCCCUCUUUUUGAAAAACCAGUUUGCCUGGACUUUUGUCACUUACACAUUUACAUUCUGGUAAAUAUACCUCCUAGGUCCAAACACACUAGUUCUAUAUUUCCUCGAAUUACCAGUAUAGAUUUCGUAUCUUGAAAUCUCAUGGUUAACCCAGCAUGACUUGAUCUUUGCCACUGGUGCUUCCUCUUCUGAGGGGUCACAGAUGUUUUUCAUGAGUCAUCUGUCCUGAAUGUUUCCCAGGCCCAAUGUCUAGGUCACUGAUCUGUGGUUUGCAGAAUUUACUUUCUUCCCCUUUUUAAGUAAAAUGGCCGUGUCAUGUGCUUCUCUCCAACCUUCUGGCAAGUUCAGAAGAUCUUUUCUGAGGUUUGGAGAGACAGAUGAAUCUCUUGAGGACAAAUGAUAUUUCCCCCAAAUGGAGUCUGACCCGGAAUGAACCCUCAUUUUCCAAUUUUCCUGAAUAGUUGGUAUCACCAGAGUGAGAACAAGGCUGCAAGAGUCCACUUCUGGUGCUGGGUUCACUCACUGAACCAAGGUAGGACUUCCUCCAGUCACAGGUACGAUCCUCCUCCAUUCCAUACAGUCUUCAUGAUGGUCUUGUAGCCUGCGGGAUGCCCCCAUCUGUAGUGCCCACAUAAGGGAAUGAAGACCGUCUUACACUUCUCUGAAUUCACACGAAGCUUAAAAAAGAGAUCUGUUUCUCACAAAUGAUGACUACACGGAGCUGGUCAUGCAAAUUAGAAAUGGACCAGAAGCAGCUGAGGUGCUGAAGGCCCCAUGUCUCUUAUAGAACCACAGCUCCCAGAUCUUUCCUUCCCGUUGGUCCCUUAAACCUUCCCAAGCAAGUCUUAACAGGCCACCUUCCCAGGGACCAGCAGCUCCAUGUGUGGGGCACAAGAAAAGACACUUGAUCGUCAAUCCACAGGUCGUCUUUUCGUCUAAGUGGCAGAACUCCAGUUCCUCCUGCCUAACGCCUUGGACUUCAGAGAACACCCCCCGCCCCAGUUUUCUGAAGCUGACAUUCUGUCCUAGUUCAGAUGCCAGGACAUUUAUUUAAAGGUCGAGCCUUAUAAGGGCUUCCCUGGUGACUCAGUGGUAAAGAAUCUGCCUGCCAAUGCAGGAGAUGCAGGUUCGAUCCCUGGGUCAGAAAGAUACCCUGGAGAAGGAAAUGGUGACCCAUGCCAGUAUUCUUGCUGGGGAAAUCCCAUGGACAGAGGAGCCUGGAGGGCUGCAGUCCAUGGGGUCGAAAAGAGUUGGACACAGCUUAGUUACCCACCCAAAGGCGCUCUAUAGCUCUGCCGUGUAGCUCUGGCACUGUUUUCAGAGAAUUUGCAGUGUCAUGAUUCAGUCUGUUUGACUAGGUGCUAGAACCAAGCUUGCCAUAACCCCAAAAUGUUUGGGAGGGGGGUGUCCAUUUAUAUUCCUAUGCUUGCUCUUGAACUGAAAAAUCUUCCAGAUACAUGUAUAACUGAGUCGUUUUGCCGUCCACCUGAAACUGUCACAACACUGUUAAUCAGCUAUACUCCAAUAUAAAAUAAAAAGCUUAAAAAAAGUGUCCGA